ACUGCGUUACUGCGCUAAAGAAAGUAGUUCACCAAAGAAGCGAAGCAAAAAACUUUUAUACACUUGCAAAUCGCAACAAUUGUUCAGUAAUAACAUGAAAUUACAUAAUUUGUUAUCCAAUGGUACAAUUUAUGAUAAUAUAAGCGUGUAUUUGUAUGAGUGCACAUGUAUGAUUGCGCGUUUGCGCUGUUGAUGCUUUGCGCGUUCCGGCGAGUUCGUGCACGCCGCUGGCUUGAGAGUUUCCUGCGUUUUCUGUGUUCUUUGUGUGCUUGGCUGUGACAUCUUUGGAAUAUUCCUGCGUGUUGCUCGCUUUUUAUGGACUUGUUGCCUCGAAGGUCGCCAUGAUCGCCUCCGACUCAGCGACAUCAAGGAUUCAAAAUGAGCUGGGAGAGGCCCCAGCUGGAACGGUUCACAUAGGUUGAAGGAGUGCACAUUGAGAAGGUUAUCCUGGCACAGUUUACCAUGGUCUGCCAUGGUGGACCAGGAAAGUUUGCAAGGGCCUUGCUUCACCAUGUGUUCACAGAGGAGGAGCUCAUGGGCCAUUUGGGCUUUGGAAAUAACACCAAGGGGCAAAAAAGGCUCUUGACCCCACCAGGGUCAGUGCUGUUAUAGGCAAGUACCAUAUAUCCUUUCUGGUUGCAUUUUUACAUUCACAUUUUUUUCUAAAAUUAUGAACUUGCCAUUGGCAUAACAAACGACUUUCAAGUAGCCCGUGUGUGCAGUUGUGUGCGACAAUAGCCUACUAUUUGGAAUGACUGUUCGUACGAUCUUAAGUGUGUAAUGCCGCCAUACUCAAAUGCUUCUAAAAUUUAAAAGCUGCCUUCACUGCUGAAAGUUUUUAGUGGCUCCACCACAUAAAAUGAGCUGCAUUUGCGCAUUAGCAGUGUUGCUUGGCUGUCAUUGCAAGGAAUAGUUGUCUGUGAAGCACGCUCCAAAUCUAUUGGCAUGGAGGACAUGUUUAGUUAGCCUGAAAAUGUUAUUCUAAUACGCGAAUUGCGGAGAAGGUAUGCUCA